UAGGGUGGACCAAGGUCACAAAGAUGGUCUCUCUGUUAGGUUCCCGGACCAGGUAGAGAGAGAAAAAGGUAGCUAGAGAGAGAGAGAAAGGGGUUUUAGGUGUUGGAUAAUAGUGAUCGGAGGGGUUUUAGGUGCUGGAUAAUAGUGAUCGGAGGCCAAGAUCGGCGGCCACAAUGGACAAUAGAAUUAGGCUGAUAGCUAGCAACAAAAGACUGAACAAAGAAAGCUAGAAUAAGAAUCACAACAGGGCAUAAUAAGAGUAUUUGAUUGGUAAUUAGAAGAAGGGGCAUCCUAAGGUAGAGAGAGGCAAGUGGUGGCCGGAGGACCGACAAUAGGUGUCGGGUGGUGGCAUUUG
rnacentral:lncRNA from 1 species